rnacentral:rRNA from 1 species
GACGAACGCUGGCGGCGUGCUUAACACAUGCAAGUCGAACGGAAAGGCCUGCUUUCCCUUGUGGAUUGCGGGUACUCGAGUGGCGAACGGGUGAGUAACACGUGAGUGAUCUGCCCCCAACUUGGGUAUAAGCCUGGGAAACUGGGUCUAAUUCCCGAUAGGACUGCAGGGUGGUGCCUGUGGUGGAAAACGAUUUUCUAGUGGUUGGGGAUGAGCUCGCGGCCUAUCAGCUUGUUGGUGGGGUAAUGGCCUACCAAGGCGGCGACGGGUAGCCGGCCUGGGAGGGUGGACGGCAAAAUUGGGACUGAGAUACGGCCCAGACUCCUACGGGAGGCAGCAGUGGGGAAUAUUGCACAAGGGGCGGAAGCCUGAGGCAGCGACGCCGCGUGGGGGAUGACGGCCUUCGGGUGGUAAACUCCUUUCGACCGCGAGGAAGCCACCUGGUUGGAAGGGUGGUGACGGUAGUGGUAGAAGAAGCACCGGCUAACUACGUG